CGCCAGACUCCUACGGGAGGCAGCAGUGGGGAAUAUUGCACAAUGGGGGAAACCCUGAUGCAGCGACGCCGCGUGAGCGAAGAAGUACCUCGGUAUGUAAAGCUCUAUCAGCAGGGAAGAAGAUGACGGUACCUGACCAAGAAGCUCCGGCUAAAUACGUGCCAGCAGCCGCGGUAAUACGUAUGGAGCAAGCGUUAUCCGGAUUUACUGGGUGUAAAGGGAGCGCAGGCGGCACGGCAAGUCCGGUGUGAAAGCCCGGGGCCCAACCCCGGGACUGCACUGGAAACUGCCGGGCUGGAGUGUCGGAGGGGCAGGCGGAAUUCCUAGUGUAGCGGUGAAAUGCGUAGAUAUUAGGAGGAACACCGGUGGCGAAGGCGGCCUGCUGGACGACGACUGACGCUGAGGCUCGAAAGCGUGGGGAGCAAACAGGAUUAGAUACCCUAGUAA
rnacentral:rRNA from 1 species